CACGCCCUAAACUUUGUACACUAGGUUUCGGAGGAUUCGACCCCUUCGGAGCUCAAGCUAACGCGUUAAGUGUACCGCCUGAGGANGCAACGCGAAAAACCUUACCUGGCCUUGACAUGGAUUGGACCGGGUGUGAAAGCAUCCUUCUCUUCGGAGCCGAUUCACAGGUGC
rnacentral:rRNA from 1 species